GGGGGUAUAGCUCAGUGGUAGAGUGUGUGCUUGGCAUGCACAAGGUUCUGAGUUCAAUCCCCAGUGCCUCCA
rnacentral:tRNA from 1 species